rnacentral:tRNA from 1 species
UCCCUGGUGGUUCAGUGGUUAAGAACUCCAUACUCCCAAUGCAGGGGGCACAAGUUCAAUCCCUGGUCAGGGAA